rnacentral:rRNA from 2 species
GGGGUCGCGAGAUCUACCAAACCUAACCAAACUCCGAAUACCAUCGAGACUUAUCCGGCAGACAGACGGCGGGUGCUAAGGUCCGUCGUCAAAAGGGAAACAGCCCUAACCUACAGCUAAGGUCCCCAAGUCAUCACUAAGUGGGAAAGCAUGUGGGAUUUCCAAAACAACCAGGAGGUUGGCUUAGAAGCAGCCAUCCUUUAAAGAAAG